AAUGCAGACAUCUCUUACAGAGCAGGCUUGCUACGGCUAGUCUGCGAAGUGCUGGUUCUUCUGUGGACUUGGACGAGAGAGCCUCUCUAGUAUAAUGCAGACAUCUCUUACAGAGCAGGCUUGCUACGGCUAGUCUGCGAAGUGCUGGUUCUUCUGUGGACUUGGACGAGAGAGCCUCUCUAGUAUAAUGCAGACAUCUCUUACAGAGCAGGCUUGCUACGGCUAGUCUGCGAAGUGCUGGUUCUUCUGUGGACUUGGA